GGUGGCCUAAUGGUUAGAGUGUCUGCCUUAUAUGUGAGAGACCAUGGGUUCAAACCCAGUCUGAGCCA